CCUACGGUGGGCAGCAGUGGGGAAUAUUGCACAAUGGGGGAAACCCUGAUGCAGCGACGCCGCGUGAGUGAAGAAGUAUUUCGGUAUGUAAAUCUUUGUCUGCAGGGAAGAAAAUGACGGUACCUGACCAAGAAGCCCCGGCUAACUACGUGCCAGCAGCCGCGGGAAUACGUAGGGGGCAAGCGUUAUCCGGAUUUACUGGGUGUAAAGGGAGCGUAGACGGGAGGGCAAGUCUGGGGUGAAAGGCGGGGGCUCAACCCCCGGACUGCUCUGGAAACUGCCAGGCUGGAGUGCAGGAGAGGUAAGUGGAAUUCGUAGUGUAGCGGUGAAAUGCGUAGAUAUUAGGAGGAACACCAGUGGCGAAGGCGGCUUACUGGUCUGUAACUGACGUUGAGGCUCGAAAGCGUGGGGAGCAAACAGGAUUAGAUACCCCUGUAGUC
rnacentral:rRNA from 1 species